rnacentral:rRNA from 1 species
AGCGUAGACGGCGCAGCAAGUCUGAUGUGAAAGGCAGGGGCCUUAACCCCUGGACUGCAUUGGAAACUGCUGUGCUUGAGUGGCCGGGGGGGUAAGCGGAAUUCCUAGUGUAGCGGUGAAAUGCGUAGAUAUUAGGAGGAACACCAGUGGCGAAGGCGGCUUACUGGACGGUAACUGACGUUGAGGCUCGAAAGCGUGGGGAAGCAAACAG